UCCAUGGAAAAACGGUGCCGGGUAACACCCGGCGGGGGUGACCCUAGGGAAAGUGCCACAGAAAGCAAACCGCCUAUUUUUAUAGGUAAGGGUGAAAAGGUGAGGUAAGAGCUCACCGCGCACGCAGUAAUGGGUGUGGCAAGGUAAACCCCACCGGGAGCAAGACCAAAUAGAAAUGACGUGCAAGGUUUGGCUUGCAGCCAGUUUCCAGGUGAGUCAUUUGGGUAGGUUGCACGAGGCGGAUGGUAACAUCCGUCCUAGAUGAAUGGUUGCCAUGUAAAGUAUAAGCUUUACCAU
rnacentral:RNase_P_RNA from 1 species